GGGGAAUCUUCCGCAAUGGGCGAAAGCCUGACGGAGCAACGCCGCGUGAGUGAAGACGGCCUUCGGGUUGUAAAGCUCUGUUAUACGGGACGAAAAAUCUUGUGGUUAAUACCCAUAAGAAGUGACGGUACCGUAAGAGAAAGCCACGGCUAACUACGUGCCAGCAGCCGCGGUAAUACGUAGGUGGCAAGCGUUGUCCGGAAUUAUUGGGCGUAAAGGGCGCGCAGGCGGCUUCUUAAGUCUGUCUUAAAAGUGCGGGGCUUAACCCCGUGAUGGGAUGGAAACUGGGAAGCUCAGAGUAUCGGAGAGGAAAGCGGAAUUCCUAGUGUAGCGGUGAAAUGCGUAGAUAUUAGGAGGAACACCAGUGGCGAAAGCGGCUUUCUGGACGAAAACUGACGCUGAGGCGCGAAAGCCAGGGGAGCGAACGGGAUUAGAUACCCCGGUAGUCCUGGCCGUAAACGAUGGGUACUAGGUGUAGGAGGUAUCGACCCCUUCUGUGCCGGAGUUAACGCAAUAAGUACCCCGCCUGGGGAGUACGGCCGCAAGGUUG
rnacentral:rRNA from 1 species